ACCGCGGUAAUCCAGUUGGUUAGGCGUCGGCAGUACUGAUGCCGAAGCGCAGUUCAAAUCUGCCUGCGGUA